rnacentral:rRNA from 1 species
AUACGGAGGGUGCAAGCGUUAUCCGGAAUCAUUGGGUUUAAAGGGUCCGCAGGCGGUCAAUUAAGUCAGAGGUGAAAUCCCGUCGCUCAACGACGGAACUGCCUUUGAUACUGGUUGACUUGAGUUAUACGGAAGUAGAUAGAAUGUGUAGUGUAGCGGUGAAAUGCAUAGAUAUUACACAGAAUACCGAUUGCGAAGGCAGUCUACUACGUAUAUACUGACGCUCAUGGACGAAAGCGUGGGGAGCGAACAGGAUUAGAAACCCUAGUAGUCC